CGGGGAAUUUUGGACAAUGGGGGCAACCCUGAUCCAGCCAUUCCGCGUGAGUGAAGAAGGCCUUCGGGUUGUAAAGCUCUUUCAGCUGGAACGAAACGGUGCGCUCUAACAUAGCGUGCUAAUGACGGUACCAGCAGAAGAAGCACCGGCUAACUACGUGCCAGCAGCCGCGGUAAUACGUAGGGUGCGAGCGUUAAUCGGAAUUACUGGGCGUAAAGCGUGCGCAGGCGGAUUGUUAAGCAAGACGUGAAAUCCCCGGGCUUAACCUGGGAAUGGCGUUUUGAACUGGCAGUCUAGAGUGCGUCAGAGGGGGGUGGAAUUCCACGUGUAGCAGUGAAAUGCGUAGAGAUGUGGAGGAACACCGAUGGCGAAGGCAGCCCCCUGGGAUGACACUGACGCUCAUGUACGAAAGCGUGGGUAGCAAACAG
rnacentral:rRNA from 1 species